rnacentral:rRNA from 1 species
AGUUCGGAUUGGAGUCUGCAACCCGACUCCAUGAAGCUGGAUUCGCUAGUAAUCGCGCAUCAGCCACGGCGCGGUGAAUACGUUCCCGGGCCUUGUACACACCGCCCGUCAAGCCAUGGAAGCCGGGGGUGCCUGAAGUGCGUGACCGCAAGGAGCGCCCUAGGGUAAAACCGGUGACUGGGGCUAAGUCGUAACAAGGUACC